CACCCUCCGACCACCCCACUUCUUCCCCUCCCCUCACACUUCCCUCCCUCCCUUCUCUCGUCUCCUCCCCACUGCGCCUCCCUCCCUCCUGGCCUUCCUUCCCUUCCACGACUUUGCAGAUUUCUCUUCCCCCAGGCCUCCCUCCUCCACCUCUCCGCCCCCUCCGGGCUUGGCUCUCCCAGGAGGCUACGACUGGAGCCACUGGUCCCGCAGGGAUCCCCGCGUCCUCGGUCGCCGCGUCCACGUCCCUCUCGCGUCCCCGCCCGGCGCCACGCCGCCUCCUCUGGGUUCGGCCUCCGCGCGGUGCAGCGCAGUCUCAGGCCACGGGACAAGGGCCUGCUGUCUAUAUCCUUGGAUGCUGUAUUUGAGUCAGGUUGGAAUUUCAUACCUUAUUUCUACAAAAAGUCUGUUUCGUCAGUCUUGAGACCUCUGUUUGAAUGUUAAUGCUGGUCAUUUGUGCCUGAAC
rnacentral:lncRNA from 1 species